AUUAUGGACUACAAGCAUAACAUUCGCAAUAUGUCCGUUAUUGCACAUGUUGAUCAUGGGAAGUCAACCCUUACCGACUCUCUUGUUGCUGCUGCUGGUAUCAUUGCACAAGAAGUUGCUGGUGAUGUCCGGAUGACAGAUACCCGUGCAGAUGAGGCAGAGCGUGGUAUCACAAUCAAUCUACUGGUAUCUCUCUCUACUAUGAGAUGACUGAUGAAGCUUUGAAGAGCUACAAGGGGGAGAGAAACGGAAAUGAGUACCUCAUCAAUCUCAUUGAUUCCCCUGGGCACGUUGACUUUUCAUCUGAAGUCACGGCUGCUCUUCGUGUUACUGAUGGUGCACUUGUGGUGAUUGAUUGCAUUGAGGUGUCUGUAUCCAAACAGAGACUCUGCUUCGUCAAGCCUCAGGAGAAAGGAUCAGGCCUGUGUUGACUGUUAACAAGACGGACAGGUGCUUCCUUGAGCUCCAGGUCGAUGGAGAGGAGGCUUACCAAGCAUUCCAGAGGGUUAUUGAGAAUGCUAAUGUCAUUAUGGCUACAUACGAAGACCCCCUUCUUGGUGAUGUCCAGGUCUAUCCAGAGAAAGGAACAGUUGCCUUUUCAGCUGGUUUGCACGGAUGGGCUUUUACUUUGACCAACUUUGCCAAGAUGUAUGCAUCCAAGUUUGGAGUUGAUGAAUCAAAGAUGAUGGAAAGGCUCUGGGGAGAGAACUACUUUGACCCAGCUACCAAGAAAUGGACCGGCAAGAACACUGGUUCUGCUACCUGCAAGCGUGGUUUCGUUCAGUUCUGUUAUGAACCCAUCAAGCAGAUUAUCAACACCUGCAUGAAUGAUCAGAAGGACAAGUUGUGGCCCAUGUUGACAAAGCUUGGUGUCACGAUGAAGAGUGAUGAAAAGGACCUGAUGGGGAAGGCGUUGAUGAAGCGUGUCAUGCAGACCUGGCUACCAGCCAGCAGUGCCCUAUUGGAAAUGAUGAUCUUUCACCUUCCCUCUCCUUCAACUGCCCAGAGAUACCGUGUUGAGAACUUGUACGAGGGUCCCCUUGAUGAUCAAUAUGCAAAUGCUAUCAGGAACUGUGAUCCCGAAGGGCCUCUUAUGCUCUAUGUAUCUAAGAUGAUUCCCGCAUCUGACAAGGGUCGAUUCCAAUUUCUGACUGUGGCCUACUCUCCACAGCAAAAUGGAGUUGCUGAGAGGAAGAAUAGGACUAUUGCAGAGAUGAACAAAGCUAUGAUGAAUGAGAAGAAAUUACCUUUCAAAUUUUUGGGGGAGGCAGUGAACACAGCUGUCUACAUUCUGAACAGAUGCCCCACAAAAGCCUUGGAUAAUCUAACUCCUUUUGAAGUUUUCAGUGGCAGAAAGCCAGGUGUGAAGCACUUAAGAGUGUUUGGUUCUGUCUGUUUCUGUCAUGUGCCUAACCAAUUGAGAUCUAAACUGGAAGAUGCAGAUGUGAAGUGUAAAUUUGUUGGGUAUGAUGGCAAAUGUGAAAAGGGCUACAGAGUAUACAACCUGCAGACCAAUAAGAUAACCGUGUCUAGAAGUGUCAUUUUUAUGAAGGCGCAUUAUGGGAUUGGGACAAACAGGCUAUUGAGUUCCAAUGAGCUUUGA